rnacentral:rRNA from 1 species
UACGUAGGGGGCAAGCGUUGUCCGGAUUUAUUGGGCGUAAAGAGCGUGUAGGCGGUCAGGUAGGUCCGUUGUGAAAACUCGAGGCUCAACCUCGAGACGCCGAUGGAAACCAUCUGACUAGAGUCCGGAAGAGGAGAGUGGAAUUCCUGGUGUAGCGGUGAAAUGCGCAGAUAUCAGGAGGAACACCAAUGGCGAAGGCAGCUCGCUGGGACGUGACUGACGCUGAGACGCGAAAGCGUGGGGAGCAAACAGG